UUCCCCUCCCCCUCCCUUGGCGCCUUGGCUCCUAGUGUCUUUAAUGCGCAGAAGCUUAGUUGCUUGAAGUCUCGCGAGAAUUGAGAAGGGGCGACGACUUGGUGAGACUUGAGCCAUCUGACCCCGCCCCCUUCAGAGUCCAGAGGUAUCUAGCGGGGUCCUAGACAGCGUAUUCAGAUUUUGUGGACCUCUGCUAUGGUACGCACGCUUUUGAGUUUUAGGGGAAUAGAUAAGUUUUUCGUGGGUUUUUUUUUUUUUUUAAUUUAGGAGGUAACAGAGCUGGAGGAUGGAGGGCGGCAUGGGGAAUGCCAGAUUAAGUGCGCCGUUAAAGAAGACAGCUGCCAGUACCGUAAAAGGGGAUUUAAAACUGUAAAGAUAUACUUCAAAAUAAAGAACAGCACUUUUCCUAGAAUGGUCACCUUGUAACUUUACGUCUAUAUGCACAUUGUUUUUGUCACUUGAAGGCAGAAUUAAAAAUUCUUUAAAAACAAUUGGAAACUGAACUGCAACCACCAUUCGUAUUCAUACUUUACCGCUUUAAUCUCCACAACUACUUAGUCCGAAGGCAUUAGCAUUAUUUCUAUUUUACUGGUGAUGAAGUUGAAGUGCCAAAAUGUUAAGUAACUUAAUUAAGGCUCCUCAGAUAGUUAGUGGCGAAACUCAGUUUGAAUAGUCCCCAAAUCUGUAUAUAAAUACAUCAAAUAUGUAUUGAGUAGAAUCAUCCACAGUGAAACAGUGUGCACUAGGUUGCAAGCACAAAUAAGACUGCUUUUGCUGGUGGUUACCUUGAAGUUUACAAAUGACUUCUGAGACUUGUUUUGCGGGGCUCCUCAACAAUAACAUCAAUACACUAUUAUUAUUUCCUUCCUUUGAGUUUAUGACCCCAGUGAUAAAGUUGUUGAGAAUAGUGGAGUUAAACCCUUGACUUGAAUUCAGCUUCCUCUACCAUUUCCCAGGGAAAUUAUUUUCAAAUCCAGCCUUAAUAAAUCUCACUUAAUGCACUCAAUAAAUAUUUGAUGAAUAAAUAAAACCUAACUAGUUACAAGACACUUGAGUUCACUAAGUCUUGUUGAUUUCUUCAUCUGUAAAGUGAUCUAAUUCCUACCUCAGAGUGUCAGGGAUAUUGAAUGAAACAGUUUAAGAGAGAGUGCUUUGCAAAAGUAUUUCAAAGUAGUGAUAAUGAUAUUUUCAGACAUGAGAAAUGGCAUAAAAAUUAAAAACAGACUCAAGAAAUAGUAUGUUGAGAUAAAUAAGCUUGGCUAAUAGGGAAAAGCUAGGUAAGUCUUUUUACAAAUAUUUAUUGAGCAAUUUUUACAUAUACUGUGCUUAUGAAAGAGAAGUAAAAAUGUGCAGGGGACAACACAAAUUAGUAUUAUUAGUUAUCAUUAUUAUAUUUAAGUAUUGACAGUAGAUGGGCUUCCCUAGUGGCUCAGCAGUAAAGAAUCUGCCUGCCUGUGCAGGAGUCAUGGGUUUGAUCCCUGGGGGGGGAAGAUCCCCUGGGAGAGGGCAUGGCAACCCACUCCAGUAUUGUUGCCUGGGAAAUCCCAUGGACAGAGGAGCCUGGUGGGCCACAGUCCAUGGGGUCACAAAGAGUUGCACACAACUUAGUGACUAAGCAAACACUGGCGGUAUAUAGGGGCUGUAGUCAAUUUCCCUCUGGGAGCAUGGAAAUCAGGUUGCCCUCAGAAUUAAACUAAUAAAAAUUUACAUAGUAGAAGAAAUUAUCUAAGGACGAUAGUAAACAUUAAACAACAGCAGGUGUUCAAGCACUGAUCUACCAGGUGUGAAGUCCAGGAAGGGUCCUGGAGAUACCGUCUAUGCUUGAUGUUAAGCUUUCAGUUGCCAGUUUGUGGGUAGUAGGUCCCAGUGGAGGAGUUGUCAGGAGACUUGGAGCUAUUUACCAACUAGCACAAAAGUAUUUCAGUAUUUUAACAGUUAAUAUUUAUAACUGAUAACAGUCACACUAAUACAUAUAGCCUGAGUAUUAGUCCUUGCUGUAGACUGUGAUUAUCAAUAUUCUCUGCCCCUCCUUUGCUAAAAUUCUCCCUCAGGGACUUCACUGGUGCUCCAGCAGUUGAGAAUCUGCCUCAGGGGACAUGAUUCCAUCCCUGAUCCAGGAAGAUCCCACAUGCCACAGAGCAACUAAGCCACAACUCAUGAGCCCGUGCUCUAGAGCCCGUGCUUCACAAGAAGAGAAGCCACCACAAUGAGAAGCUGUCAUGAGAGGAUCACGUUCCAAAUAGGGCUACUUUUCCAGGUUUGGUCCCAGAAUGAAGAUGUGCAGAGCCACAGUUGACACACACGACAUGUAAUGUGAGUAAAGAAAUAAAUCUUUGUUAAUAAGCUACUGAGAUUGUUUUAGUUGUUUGUUAUUGCAGCAUAAUUUAGCUAGCCUAAACUGGCAGACACAGCUCUGAAACCCAGGUGACUCAGUGGUAAGAAUCCACCUGCCAUUGCAGGAGAUUCAAGAGACUUAGGCUCGAUCCUGGAGUCUGAAAGAUUCCCUGGAGGAGUAAAUGGCAACCACUCCAGUAUUCUUGCCUGGGAAAUGGUAGAGGAAGCUGGUGGGCUAUAGUACACGGGGCGCAAACAGUGGGACAUGACUCAGCACACACACAUAUCACAUGCACACACUCGGGUAAGCCAAGAGUUUAUCUACAAACGUGAUCAAAAAUAAACGCUGAUCCAGUUCAUAUGAGAGGAAUCUCAAGGCAGAUAUGAUCGUAAUUUAAUAGAAACCUAAUCAAUCUUGUCAGCCAACCAUUCUGUACCGUAUUUGGAGACUAUUCUGUCAAACAAUAGUCUGUAUCCUAUUUGGAGAGAGAUUCUGUGAACUAAAGGGCUUAAUCAGACAUGACAACUGAAAACAAGGCAGAAACGAGCAUUAAUGUUGUCCCUCUAAGCCCUGUCUCAGUCAGACUGACCUGGGCAUUCAGAUUUUCUUGUCCAUGUCAUCCCUACAGUGGGUGAAUUAUCUCUGGGUGCCUCAGCUAAGAAAUGCUCCUUAAGAUCAAUAUGCCUUCCUGGUGUGAUUCUGUGCUCACCCAGCAAGUGUCCUGCCUCUGGGACAGAAUUUAGUGAUCUACCACCUAGAGGAUUCCAGUUCUCUUGAUAAUUGCAUUUUUCAUUGUAAAUUAAUCUACUAGAUCCUGGUGUAUGUAACUAUCCAUUUUUGUGAACUGAGAGAAUAUAAGAGCCCUCCUGGGAGAUGGUUCCACUCUGUGCUUGCUAUUAAAACCUGGCUUCUGAGAUGGCAAGACAGGCCCAGUUCUGAGAUGAUGGUAGAUUCCCUAAAGUGUUAAAACUAUAGAGGGACCUCUCUAGAAUACCUUAAGCUACACCCCUCUAUCUCAGUGUAUGGCAUCUUUGAUAUUAAAGAAGACCAGUAAGUGCUAAAGAGAGAUAUAAUUCACAUGUUGUGGGAGUUCAAAAAGGAAGAGAUCACUUCCACUUAGUAUGAAACAAUGGGAAGAAUUCAGGAAAGAUUUGUGAGGAUGUGACAUUUUAAAAAUGUGUAGAAUUAUGGAAAGAGCAUGCCAUGUAUAGGUGGCCACUAGAUCACGUAUAGGAAGCAGGGGGUUGAGGGAGGAAAUAAAGAAGAUGAUGGAAAGGGAAAAAGCAUCAUCUGGAAAAAUGCAUUUUGGUCAGAUUAAGGCUCUUGGGUUUUAUUUUCUGCUAAGGAGACUUAGUGGUGGAAGUCUUAUUGUUUUUAUUUAAUUUUACCAUUUUAAUCACUUUUAAGAGUACAGUUUAUUGGCAAUAAGUACGUUCACAUCAUUGUGCAACCGUCACCACUAUUUGUCUCCAGAAUUUUUUCGUCAUCCCAUGCUGAAACUCGGUGCCCAUUAAACAAUAACUCCCCAUCCUCCCCACCCUCAGCUCCUAGGAACCCCUGUUCUCUUUUCUCCUUUUGAAUUUGACUAUUCCAAGUAUAUAAGUGGAAUUAUAUUGGGCUGGCCAACAAAUUCGUUCAGGAUUUUCCACAAGACGUUACAGAGAAACCGAAACGAACUUUUUGGCCAACCUGAUACAAAAUUUACCCUUUUGUGUCUGGCAUGUUUCAUUUAGCAUAAUGUGUUCAAGUUUCAUCCAUGUCAUAUAGCACAUCCAAAACUUUCAUUUCUUUCUUUUUUGGAGGGAGGAAGAAGAGGGUAGAGAAAACACACAUGCUUGAGGAAGGUGCAAAGGCACAUGGGACAAGGGCCUUGCCACCAGGGCCUUGCGCUAAUGACUCACCUCUCAGUUUCUUUUGCUCCCCUCAGCAGCCCAACGUGAAGGCAUCAGGGCAAGGACACCUUCAGAACCAGCAGCCAUCAGGCCAGGAGUGUCCUGGCUCUCAAGCCCCGCCAUUCUGCCCCUGAAUGCUGUUCCUGCCCACACCGCUUAAAGAUGUGGACCUGAACCCCUGAGAGACCUCAGGAGGACUGGGCCCUCUUGUCGAACAGCCUUUCAGGCAAACUUUCAUCUCUAGUUAUGGUUGAAUAUAGUACUCCAUUGUGUGUAUAUAGCAUAUUUUGCUUAUAAAUUCAUCCGGCAAUGGAAUUUGGGUUGUUUCUGUCUUUUGAGUAUGGCGAAUAAUGCUGCUGUGAACAUUGGUGUACAAAUAUCUGUUUGAAUUCCAGCUUUCAACUCUUUGGGGUACAUACCCAGAAGUGAAAUUGCUGGAUCAGAUGGUAAUUCUAUGUUUAAUAUUUUGAGAGACCACGAUAUUGUUUUCCACAGCAGCUAUACCAUUUUACAUUCCCAGUGAUAGAAGUUUUUACAAAUGGGAAUGACAUGGUCAAAACUGUGUUUAACCACUACAUGGGGCUUCCUUAGUUGUGCCUGUGGAUAGGAAUCUGCCUGCCAAUGCUGGGGACGCAGGUUUGAUCCCUGCUGCAGGAAGAUUCCACAUGCUGCGGAGCAACUAAGCCCAUGUGCUGCAACUACCGAAGCCCUGGUACCUAGAGCCUGUGCUCUGCAAAGAGAGAAGCCGUCGCACUGAGAAGCCCAUGCGCUGCAACCAAGAGUCACCCUGGCUCACCGCAACUAGAGAAAGCCUGCGCUCAGCAAUGAAAACUCAGUGCUACCAAAACAAACACACGAAGUGGCUAUCUGGCAGAGAUAACAGGAUGGAGUGGGGUUGCAGAAUGACCAGUUGGAGACUUCCACAUAAGACGAGAUCUAACAGGAGCCUGAGCACAUCAGUAGCAGUGAGAAUGGAGGGAGGAAGAUAGAAAUGCAGAGGUGACGCUGCCGACGGAGGACUGAAGCACUUGAUUGUUGGUCUGCUGUUGCAGAGGUGAGGAGCAAGAGGAGUGAAGGUGUGUGGUAUGACCCCCGGCUUCACCCCUGGGAGUAGGGCAGUCUCCAGAUGAAGAUUUCUGGACUUCUCCAGAGCGUGUCAAGUGGGACAUUGUGAGCUCUGGGAUGGACACUUGUUGUCUUGCCUGCUCAGUAGCCUUGCCCUUUCCAAUGGUAAUGACACUGUACUUGCAGCCCAGCUGCUGAGCUCUGAAAUCCGUGCUACACUCUGAGAUCCAUUGCCCUUCACCCCCAGGCCUCACUUCCCACAAGCUGGCCACUGACUGAGCACAGCAGGGAUUUUUGGACAGGCAUCUGCCUAGGAUAAGUGACGCUCUUCUGAUGAUGACUUUGGCUCAAGGACGGCUCAGUGACUUCACAAACUUCCCUUGAAGCUGCACUGCAGUCUAAGGUGCUUCCACCUAGAACUCCUGCCUUCUCUCUUCUUCACUUAGGGUCAGACCUGGCUCACUGUUGGGUGGUCCUCUCCCAGUCUCGCUCAGGUCUGGCUCCCCAUUGUCUCUCACAGGUGUUUUCCGUAUUGAAUUUCUUGCAUUUAACCCUGUCUUGAGGUCUGUUUUCUGAGGAUCUGAACUGACGGGAGGGAGGAGGAGCUCACAGCAUCUCCUCUGUAUCCCAUCAACCAUAGGGAUAAGUGUGUGACCCACCCUGACCAGUCAUCAUGAGCCCCACACCUUGGCCCAGGGCCUCCUCAGAGUCUCUCUGCAUCAUUUGCCUCCCAGACCAUUAGAUGCUUGGUCCACCUCAACCACAGACAUGGCUGACAAGCUCUGAGUGAGGCUCAUAGUUCCACUGGCUGAAGCCAACUAGUUACAAGCAUGGAUAGUCUGGCUUCUCUUGCACUUUCCAGACCCUGAGGACACACCACCUCGCAGAGCAAGAGAUCUGGCUUCCAAAGCAGCUGCUGAAGGGGUCGGUGAUGUACAGGAGAUAUAACCUGUACCAGAGAUUUAACUGCCCAUGGGGCCAACUAUAUAUAGGCUUCCCUGGUGGCUCAGCUGGUAAAGAAUCCACCUGCAAUACGAACGAGCUGGGUUUGAUGCCUGAGUUGGGAAGAUCACCUGGAGAAGGGAACAACUACCCACUCCAGUAUUCUGGCCUGGAGAAUUCCAUGGACUGUAUAGUCCAUGCGGUUGUAAAGAGUCAGACACUGCUAAGCGACUUUCACUUCAGGGCCAACUAUGAUGAAUGGAGAAACAAUUUACUCUUCCCUCCCUUCCUCUGAUGGACUGUUUGAAGAACCGUGUGAUGGAGAACUUACUGCCUGCCUCCCAAGAUAACUGGACUCCAUGCUGUGGCUGGAAGGGAUGGGCUCUGGAAUGAUGAGAGGAGAUGAUGGAGGGAUAAACCCGCAGUUCUCAACGUUUCCUGUCUUACCCAUCCGCAAGUGCUCUGCAAUCAAAACAAGAAAACAGACUCUUCCAAUGGCAUUUAUCCUGACUGAUACCAGAGGAACUGUUACUGAAUCCUUAUGUCUUACCUUUACUUCUGUGGGUUCCUGUUGCUAUCCAGGCCACCUGGGGGUAGUCAAGUCUCUCUAGGGCCUGGAGAAGUAAGAUUGUGGAUGACUCCUGGAAGCCUCAAAGGAGCAGCCGUGCCCAAAACACCACUUUUCUCAGAGGUACCUUGCUAUGACCAGUAGCAUCUUGCAAGAUGGUGUUGGGCAAGUCCUACUCAAGUAUGAUCCAUGAUUGGAAACCUCCUAAACCCAGUCAGCCACUAAUUUUCUCUGUGAUCUUGGGCAAAUCAAGUUCAAUCUCAACGUUUCCAUCUGUUUGUUAAAGAGCAGAAAGGGCAGUCCACUGGUUAGGACUCCGAGCUUCCACUGCAGGGGGCGUGGGUUUGCUCCCUGGUCCCACAAGCUGGGUGGUGUGGCAGAAACAAAAUUAAAAAGAACAAAGGGAUAAUUUUUCUAAAUUCUUUUAAAAUACAUUGUUUUAAGGGGAUAGAUGGCAUGGGAGAAAUGAUAGGUGUUACCUUCUAUCCCUCCUUCUUGCCCAUCCUCCCUGGGUUUCUGUAUCAAAUAAGAUAACAAGCAUGAAAAGGCCCUGAAAAGUACAAAGUCCCAUAAAAAGGCAAGAAAGUGUUAUUAUCAACAUAGUCGUUAGAGUAGAGGGAUGAAGGCAGGGCACAGGCUGAAAGCCAAACAGCUGGAAGGCAGGAAAUCUUAACACCAAAAAAGGAAACUUUCUUUGUUCAAAUUCUUCCUGGAGUGGUACUUUCUUUGGCGCAGACCUGGCACUGAAAUCCUCUGAAUGCUGACACAGCUCCAGGAAAGUGUUCCGGGGACAGGUAGGGCAUUCAGCAGCCAAAAGACACUGGAGAAACACCCAGCCUGAUUCCUCACUUCUUCUGUGAUCCAACGAAGGAUGCAACGGAAGGGCGAGGUUCAGAUUCAAAGCCAGGUGUGUGCUGGGUUCCUCCUCCAGGCUCCUUAACCAGCCACUAAGACGCUGGGAGGGGUUGGGGGCAGGAGGAGAAGGGGACGACAGAGGAUGAGAUGGCUGGAUGGCCUCACCGACUCAAUGGACAUGGGUCUGGGUGAACUCCGGGAGAUGGUGAUGGACAGGGAGGCCUGGUGUGCUGCAGUUCAUGGGGUUGCAAAGAGUCGGACACAACUGAGCGACUGAACUGAACUGAAGCUCUCUAGGGACCUAGGGUAUCAUGGGCAUGCUUAACUAAUGCUAAACUCAGUGGCCCACAACCUAAAAACCAUUCCAUGUUAUGUUCAAAGGGAACAUCCAUCUGGGGAGGACCUUAAGGAUGGUCUAGGCCAACUGAGGCCCAGUGAGGAGCAGAGACUUGCCAAGAUAAGUAGAGUCAGACUCAUCAAGUGGCCAGGAACAGUAAACUGACCCCUCUGGCUCACAUGUAAAGGAGCUUCUCCAAAGGACUGGCAUGCAAACACCAGAGGCAGCUCUAGGACUUACUGCUCACAGCCUCCCGGUCUCCGCACAGCCCUGCUCCUCCCUCCCUCCAGCCAGGCUGCUGCUUACUGCUGGUCCUUGCUCUUCAUCUCCACUCAGGGCUUCGCUGGAGCCUGACCUCCCUACCUCACCUCCCUCUGUCACCUGACAAUUUCUUUCUGUUCCUUGUUUCAAGAGAGCCUCUAAUUGGCCUGUCUCAGAUGGCUGUGCUGGGCUAUUAUUUAAAGGUCACCAUCUACUACAUGAGAUGGUAACCCUUGGCUCAGGGCUGGCCCCCAUCUGCUACCUCUAGAGGCCGGAGGGACUAUAUGGUCUAAACCAGAGCCCCAGCCGGGUUUGUGGUCUGGGCAGCCUUUCUUCAAAGUGGACGUGAGUCUGGCAGGCACCAUGCCAUCCCUGGAACCAUGUGACUCGAGCCCAAGGCUCCAGAUUUCCUGCCCAGAACUUUUCCCAGAGGAUUUGUCAUUUCUUUCCUUGAGUUAUGUCACAGAUAAGCCUUCAUUCCUGCUAAAUGUCAUCCAGGGGGUUCUUCUUCCUCCUUCAUCUCUCCCUCCUACUCCUCUUCCCUGGCCCGAGGAACUUAUGAUAUAAUGAAGACAAAGACAGGAAAAUAAUUAGAAAACAUCUCUAAGUAUAGGAGUGCUUUAGAAGGAAAUAUAAACAAAGUCAUAAUAACGAACACUUACUGAGUUCCCUGAACCAAUCACUCCUGAUCACUUUACAAACAUUUUUCUCAUUUAAUCUUUACAGCUCUCCUGUGAAGUUGGUACCACAUUUGAAACGCAUGAAAACAGGCUCAGAGAGUAGUUCGCAGAUAAUAAACAGCACAGCAGGACUCUGAUGCUGAGCCUGCUCUGGCAACCACUGUGUUGUGCGGUCUUCACCAUGCUGUUUGAGCACAGAGGACCACCUUGGACUAGGGAGGAGGCAGGGGGAGGACUGUGGAGAGCAGGAGACAUCCAGGAGGAGUUGAUAUCUGAACUGAGCCUUGGAGCAGGAUGGGGCGGGGAGGUUGUUGUUCAGUCACCAAGUCACGUCUGACUCUUUGCAACCCCAUGGACUGCAUGCCAGGCCUCCCUGUCCUUCACUGUCUCCUGGAUCUUGCUCAAAUUCACAUCCAUAGAGUCAG